GCUGUAGCUCACUGGCAGGACAUCUGCUUUGAAUGCAGAAGGUCCUAGGUUUAAUCCCCAGCAUCUCCA